rnacentral:rRNA from 1 species
UACAGAGGUCUCGAGCGUUAGGCGGAAUCACUGGGCUUAAAGCGUGUGUAGGCGGAUCGUUAAGUACCUUGUGAAAUCCCACGGCUUAACCGUGGAACUGCUUGGUAUACUGGCGGUCUUGAGCCAGCUAGGGGCUACCGGAACAAAUGGUGGAGCGGUGAAAUGCGUAGAGAUGUGGAGGAACACCAGUGGCGAAGGCGACUCUCUGGGACGGUACUGACGCUGAGACGCGAAAGCGUGGGGAGCGAACAGG